GUGGCACUUAGCUUUAUGUGGCCUGACCUGUUCCAAAAUCACCCAGAGCCCUGCAAAACCCACACAGCUUGGCAACACAGCUCUUCCUGCCCUCACCCAAAUGUCUCAGGCUGUAAAUGUGGAGCACAUUGUUCAAGGAUAUUGAACAGGAAGGAUUCAGAGAUGAGAUGAGGCACCAGAGCGAUGAGAAAACUGGAGAAGAGAGCAGAGCCAGACAAACCCCUGCCUGGAAGGUGCUUUGACCAAACAACAGAACAGCUCAGCUGAUGUACUGUGGAAAAGCAAGUAGGACCCAAGGAAGAGCUCCAGCCCUUGUGCAGUGCCAGCUCUGCAGGCCAGGACAGCUGUGCACCAUCCUUCCCCUCCAGCAUGUCCCAGGGAGGGAGGCUACAGCUCCUAGCAGGUCCUGCACCCCAGGAGAACAACUAAAAAAUGAGUACCCCGUGCAAGAGGAGCCCUUUUCCCUGCAGGAGGUCUUGGAGCCACAAACCAGAGGUGCUAGGCCAGGGGGAAGGCAGGAAGCUGGCAGCACCUGGGCAGGUAAGAGAUGCAAUUGCACCACUCGCCUUUUCUGAGCUGAGAGGUGUAGCAAAGCAAAGCAGAUAACAAAAGCUAUUCCUGCCAGCCACUUGCUGGGGCAAUGGCCCAGCAUGAGUUAUGUUUCCUGGCAGCAUAAGGCUAUGCUUUUAGAGUGUUAUUCAUUGGGUAGUGUGGGACAACAGGGCUUGGCACACAUCAGCUAUGACUUCAGAAAUUCUAUUUUGUGCCACAGUAGAAAUUGGCUAUUGCAUUACAUUAGUAAUUUUUGAGUCAGGGAGUGCAGGGGCUGCACACAGCACAUGCACUGUAGCCUCCCCAUUUCUGCCAGGUUUGGAAUUGAUGUUUGAAGUGAAGGACCACAUGCCCCUAUUUGGCAGGCACCAGGUUAGUUGGUUAAAACAUUGAAACCUAAAAUGUUUUCAUAAUGAUCUUUAAUUGCAAAGCAAGUAGUUGACAUUCACUUCUCACCUGGGAGCCAUAGAUUGACCUUGGCAGUUUGACACACAAUACUCUGUUCACACUGCUGAUCUUAACUCUUCACCAUGUAGAUCGCAUGCCCAGCUUCUCAGCAUCUUGUGUUAGAACUGAAAUUUGUGCUCCCAUAUUUAUUAAAAACUUCACCAACUGGAAAUAAAGCCAUCAUUGCUUAUCCACUGAUAAGCUUCCACUUUCUGAACAGGCAGGCCCAAUUACCUUCUGGACAUUACUUAUUUUUUACUUCAUGUCCUACAAUUCCUCCCUAAAAGGGAGUAAGUGGUGUUCUUCCUUUCUGGCGACUAGUGCCAAAGGAGUUGAAGUAUGCUCCUUCCUUUCACCAUUAUCUCAUUUCUGGAAUGCUGUCAUGAUUUAACCCUGGCCAGCAACUAAGUCCCACACAGAUGCUCACUCACUCCCCCCACAGUGGGAUGGGGGAAAAGGAUCAGAAGAGUAAGAGUGAGAAAACUCAUGGGUUGAGAUAAAGACAGUUUAACAGUCAAAGCAAAAGCUGUACAUGCAAGCAAGACAAAGAAUUCAUUUACUACUUCCCCUCAGCAGACAGGUGUCCAUCAAUCUCCAGGGAAGCAGGACUCCAUCACACAUAACAGUUACAUGGGAAGACAAGUGUCACAGCACUUCCAAAACUAGCCAGCUGCAACAAGGUCUUUUACCAAUCACAUACCAAGUUAACUUCAAUAAGUAGUUAACACACCUUGCCCUAGCACAGCCACCAAUCCCCCACAAUGCCUCAAAGGUCCAUCUAAUGCUCAUGCCAUUUCUUCAUACUCUUCUGGCCAGUCCUUCUGCUGCCUUCUUCUUGCCUCUCCUACCACCAGAACACUCUUCCUCUCGUCUUCUCUUUCCCUUCUCCCCACUUCUUCCACAUCUCUCUUCCUUGACUGCUCCUCUUCUAUGCCCCUUAGAGCUAUUUAAACACUUAGCAGGAAACAGCCACAGCUGCACCUUAUCCACAUCAUCCAACCCACUGCCCCUGAAGCCAGCCCACAGCUGUAUAUUAUCAAUGUUAAUUAACCCAGCUUCAGUCCUCUACAGACAAGCACCAUAAUGCUGAAUGUCCCUCCCCUCCUUCUUCUUUCCCCAGCUUAUAUACUCAGCAUGACAUCCUAUGGUAUGGAAUAUCUCUUUGGCUAUUUUGGGUUGCUUGUCCUGGCUGUGCCCCUUCCAAUUUCUUAUGCCCCUCCAGCCUUCUCGCUGGCAGGGCCUGAGGAACCAAAAAGUCCUUGACUUAGUAUAAACAUUACCUAGCAAUAACCAAAAAUAUCAGUGUCCUAUCAACAUUGUUCUCACACUAAAUCCAAAACACAGCACUGGACCAGCUACUAAGAAGAAAAUUAACUGUCCCAGCUGAAACCAGGACAAAUGCUUUAGUCAAACUCAAGAUAAUGCCAGUAGUCCGACCUUGAAUCACAGCUCUGGGGAUGCCUAGGGCAACUUCCCAAUUAUGUCAAUUGUCACAAGCACACUCUUCUGAGAAGUUGGGUAUUGAAUUCACUCUAAGCCUCCAGAUUCACUCUACACCUCCGUAAAUAAGCUGUGAUACUACUUGCUAUCCUGCUGACUACGCCAAUUUGUUGAGGAUGGAGUGACGCACUUCACUCAUAAGAGAGAAGCAGCAAUAUGCUUAUUGGUAUGCAACAGAGAUUUAACAAAGUUUGAUAGUAAAUGUGACAGUGGUUUAACAAGAUUUGAUGACAAGGUAUACUUGAUUAUUUACUGCACAGAUGACAGGGUCAGACAAAACUGUCAGGGAGACCCUCCUGUUGAGUCAUACAUAAGGUUCAGAAAGGACCCCCUUGCAUUCUAAACUCCUUCUGAGAGGGGAGUUUAGGUGCAGCUAGAUCCAGACUUAGUCUCAGACUUGGUCAACGGUUUAUAUCUAAAGGCUUAUAUGUGCACAAUCAAUCCUUUAUACCACUUAGCUAAGAUUUCAAAAUAUGGCAUGCUAUUAAUCACUUACCGGGAAUCUGUUGUAGCAAGGAAUCUCUCAGCCUUGAGGAGUAACUUUGAGAGGCAUCCCUCAAGGGGAGAUCUUGUCAUGCAACCCGCUGCCAUGCAGGAGAGUUCAACAGGCCCUGGGCUGUCCACUAUUUAUGGAGUAAGAUAAUUGACUUUUAUAGUCAUAUUUGCAUACUGACUACAGAAGUCAGUUUCUUUCAAACUUGACUUGAGUUGGACCUUGACCAGCACUGUUAGGUGAAUGCAUUGUUCAAAUUAGCCCUUGGCUAUUGUGUUGUUAUCUGUCUCCCCUAAAUACACUUUGAGUUGGAUGCAGCCAUUGUGACCAGACACAUCCAUUUCAACUGCCACUGGUGGUUAUCACUUGAGCACUGUUACAGAAACAAAGAUCAAGAUGGGGGGGGGGGGGGAAGCACAUCACCACAGGCCCAAAGCAGAGGGAAGGACUAGAUCAUUACUUUGGGCAUCCCCAAGGAAUCCAGCCUUUUUUGGUGACAGCGAUGAGACAUAUCCUGCCAUUCUUUGUGUUGGAGAAAACACAGCAAUCCAGAAGGAAACUUCCUGAACGCUUUGGAAAUUGGCUGCCUACUGCAUUUUAAUAUUUGCUAGUUUAUACAGCUUUCCCUCAGGCAGCCGUUCAGUGACUGGUAAUAGAAAAUGCAACUAGUACAUGGUGUAAGCAGCUAACCACAGACCUGGAGAAGACCCUAGUAAGUAAUAGUGCGUGCAUGUAUGGUCACAUGGUUGUAUGCAUGCUCAGAUGGCAUCAUAAACAUGAACCAUGGAAGCAGACUCCAUGAGAAGAUCAAAGACCUUGUGGCUUCCCCAAGCGCCAGGCAGGUAACACGCCAGUGACAUAUCUCUAUCACUGCACUUGAAGAGGAUGGUCAGUUUGAACUGAGCUUGAGAUUUGAAGGUUUUCUGUGCAUCCCAAGGAGGUGAUGGAGACGUGGGAACAGAGCCCAAAUGUUGUGCAUUAUUGCUUCCAGCCCAUCACAGAUGCAGAGGA